ensembl:miRNA
AUUGGUCAGGCAUGGUGACAUGUGCCUGUAAUUGCAGCACUUGGGGAGGCUGAGGCAGGAGGAU